rnacentral:rRNA from 1 species
GGGGAAUAUUGCGCAAUGGGCGACCGCCUGACGCAGCGACGCCCCGCGAGGGAUGAAGGUUUUCGGAUCGUAAACCUCUGUCAGCAGGGAAGAAACCGCACCGUGCUCAUCAGCGGUGCCUUGACGGUCCCUUCCAAGGAAGCACCGGCUCACUCCGUGCCAGCAGCCGCGGUAAUACGGAGGGUGCAAGCGUUAAUCGGAAUUACUGGGCGUAAAGCGCACGUAGGCUGCUUUGUAAGUCAGGGGUGAAAUCCCACGGCUCAACCGUGGAACUGCCUUUGAUACUGCUUAGCUUGAAUCCGGGAGAGGGUGGCGGAAUUCCAGGUGUAGGAGUGAAAUCCGUAGAUAUCUGGAGGAACACCGGUGGCGAAGGCGGCUUGCUGGACAAAUACUGACGCUGAGGUGCGAAAGCGUGGGGAGCAAACA